rnacentral:rRNA from 1 species
AGGCCUAACACAUGCAAGUCGAACGAGGCAGCGGCCUUCGGGCCGUUGUCGAGUGGCGAACGGGUGAGUAACACGUGAGGAACCUGCCCCGGAGACCGGGAUAACCAGGGGAAACUCUGGCUAAUACCGGAUGCCCCCGGAUGGUCGCAUGGCCAACCGAGGAAACGCUCCGGUGCUCCGGGAGGGCCUCGCGGCCUAUCAGCUUGUUGGUGGGGUAACGGCCCACCAAGGCAUCGACGGGUAGCUGGUCUGAGAGGACGAUCAGCCACACUGGGACUGAGACACGGCCCAGACUCCUACGGGAGGCAGCAGUGGGGAAUAUUGCGCAAUGGGCGAAAGCCUGACGCAGCAACGCCGCGUGGGGGAUGAAGGCCUUCGGGUUGUAAACCCCUUUCAGCAGGGACGAAAAUGACGGUACCUGCAGAAGAAGCCCCGGCCAACUACGUGCCAGCAGCCGCGGUAACACGUAGGGGGCAAGCGUUGUCCGGAUUUAUUGGGCGUAAAGAGCUCGUAGGCGGUUGCGUAAGUCGGAUGUGAAAACUCAGGGCUCAACCCGGAGACGCCAUCCGAUACUGCGCUGACUAGAGUCCGGUAGAGGAGCAUGGAAUUCCUGGUGUAGCGGUGAAAUGCGCAGAUAUCAGGAGGAACACCAGUGGCGAAGGCGGUGCUCUGGGCCGGUACUGACGCUGAGGAACGAAAGCGUGGGUAGCGAACAGGAUUAGAUACCCU